rnacentral:ncRNA from 1 species
CCUAGAACGUUGAAGAGGAGAAGUAAAGGGAUCGCUCCUUUCUUGCAGAGACAAUCACCCAGGCUGAAAGUGGUUGAAGGAGCUCUUUUGAAAUGCACCUCUGAGUCUCUUGUUGAAUUGUAGUAAACAAGAGCGGUACUCUCCCGUUAUGAGAGGCGAGUUGGAGAUAAGUACGUUUUAUCUCAAACAGAGUGGAACCGCGCAUGAAGCGUCUCUGUG